AAUUGUGGGGGGUCAAUUUUUUCUCAUUUCAGAUUUCAGAAAUUAAAAAGAAUUAUUCUUGAAAUAUUAUUUUUUUUUCAAAUUUCAAAUAUUGAAAAAUUUCAAGAAGUAAUCUUUAAUUGCACAGUAUGGCGCAUUAGAUUUUUAAAAUCUUUGAUCACAUUUAUUUAUUUGUUAUGUCGAAACAGUGUAUUUAGAUUUUUAAUUUUGGGUCCAGUUUUCAAAUUGGUCUACAUUAAGGUCCAAAGGGUCCAAAAUUAAACUUUGUUUGAUUUUAGCAAAAAUUGAAUAUAUGAGGUUCUUUGAUAUGCUGAAUCUAAACAUGUAUUUAGAUUUUUGAUUUUUGGCCCAGUUUUCAAGUUGGUCCAAAUUGGGGUCCAAAAUUAAACUUUGUUUGAUUUCAACAAAAAUUGAAUAUAUGGGGUUCUUUGAUAUGCUGAAUCUAACCAUGUAUUUAGAUUUUUUAUUUGUGGACCCCGUUAUCAAAUUGGUUCAUAUUGAGGUCAAAAGGGUCCAAAAUUUAACUUUAUUUGAUUUCAUCUAAAAUUGAAUUAUUAGGGUUCUUUGAUAUUCCAAAUCUAACCGUGUAUUUAGAUUUUUAAUUUUGGGUCCUGUUUUUUAAAUUGGUCUACAUUAAGGUCCAAAGGGUCCAAAAUUAAACUUAGUUUGAUUUUAACAAAAAUUGAAUUCUUGGGGUUCUUUGAUAUGCUGAAUCUAAACAUGUGUUUAGAUUUUGGAUUAUGGGCCCAGUUUUCAAGUUGGUCCAAGUUGGGGUCCAAAAUUAAACUUUGUUUGAUUUCAACAAAAAUUGAAUAUAUGGGGUUCUUUGAUAUGCUGAAUCUAACCAUGAAUUUAGAUUUUUUAUUUGUGGACCCCGCUAUCAAAUUGGUUCAUAUUGAGGUCAAAAGGGUCCAAAAUUAAACUUUGAUUGAUUUCAUCAAAAAUUGAAUUAUUGGGGUUCUUUGAUAUUCCAAAUCUAACUGUGUAUUUAGAUUUUUAAUUUUAAGUCCCGUUUUUUAAAUUGGUCUACAUUAAGGUCCAAAGGGUCCAAAAUUAAACAUAGUUUGAUUUUAGUAAAAAUUGAAUUUUUGGGGUUCUUUGAUAUGCUGAAUCUAAACAUGUGUUUAGAUUUUUGAUUAUGGGCCAAGUUUUCAAGUUUGUCCAAGUUGGGGUCCAAAAUUAAACUUUGUUUGAUUUUAACAAAAAUUGAAUAUAUGGGGUUCUUUGAAAUGCUGAAUCUAACCAUGUAUUUUGAUUUUGGACAUUGGACCAUAAUAGGUAAAUUAAAAAAAUUCAAGUUCUUAGACCACAUUCUUUCUGUGUCAGUAACCUAUGCUGUGUCAAAUAUUUAAUAACAAUCCAAAUUCAGAGCUGUAUCAAGCUUGAAUGUUGUGUCCAUGCUUGCCCCAACUGUUCAGGGUUCGACCUCUGCGGUCGUAUCAAGCUGCGCCCCAGCGAAGCAUUUUAUUU